AGAGGGUGCGAGCGUUAAUCGGAAUUACUGGGCGUAAAGGGCGCGUAGGUUGUUUUUAAGUGUUAUGUAAAAUCGAUGGGCUUAACCUGUCGUUGUGAUAGCAAACUGGAUAACUAGCGUACAGGAGAGGGGAGUGGAAUUUCCGGUGUAGCGGUGAAAUGCGUAGAUAUCGGAAGGAACACCAGUGGCGAAGGCGACUUCCUGGCCUGCUACAGACACUGAGGCGCGAAAGCGUGGGUAGCGAACAGGAUUAGAUACCCUGGUAGUCCACGCUGUAAACGAUGAAUACUAGCCCGUUGGUUUCUUAAAGGGAUUAGUGGCGCAGCAAACGCGAUAAGUAUUCCGCCUGGGGAGUACGGCCGCAAGGUUA
rnacentral:rRNA from 1 species